GCCGGCGUGGCGGAAUUGGCAGACGCGCGGGACUCAAAAUCCCGUGUCCUCACGGACGUGUGGGUUCGACCCCCACCGCCGGCACUA
rnacentral:tRNA from 2 species